UUUCUUAUGAAUUUUUGCAAAAAGUUAUAGAAUUUUCUUAUGAAUGGGAAGACAUUGGAGUAUUUUCAGGUUGCCUAUGUGGGAACCAAUGGCUUUACAAGUUAUUCGUUUCUUAUAGAUGAAGGUUAAUGCAUGCACAUAGAAUAAUAGUACUUUUGUCUUUAUUUUCUUUUUGUUUAUGUAAUUUUCAGAGCAAAUUGGAGAUUCAGAAUUUGAUAGAGGAUGUGGAAGUAUCGAAAUGUGUACUUCAAAGGAUGCAAGCACGUGGCAAGGAUGUGAGGUCAACAUUAUGAAAGUAUUAUUUGAAAUUCAGAUCUAAUGCAGAAGCAAGGCGAAAUAAGCCUGUCAAUGUUUCCCAACAGAAUUGGGAUGAGCUAUGUGAUUAUUGGUCUAAUCCUCGUGUGAAGAAAACGUGCACUUAUAGAUGGCAUUCAACAACAUGCCUUCAGUCUUUUGGGGUGAUGCUGUUUUCUAUAAUGACACUACUGAAGAUUCCUUGGGCCUCUUAUAUAUGCUACUGUUUUGUUAUACAUUAGCAGUCCAAGGGUGUUGCUGGUAUUCAGUGUGACAUGCAAAACCAAUGCUGAAAAAGCAACAGCUUAUCUUAUUUCUAUAGUGGAGAAUUGAGUUUUAAGGUUGCUGAUUUUGGGCUAACAAAACCUACUGAAGUUGGAAUUUUGCCAGAUCCUACUCAUGCUUUUGGAACAUUUGGUUACUUAUUUUUGUAUAUGUUUGAUCUUUUGAAGAAUCAGUGAUUGUAUAUGUUUGAUGCUGUGAUAUAGUAGAUGAAAAUUUUUAUUUUACUAAUGUGGCAUGGAUGAUGA